rnacentral:rRNA from 1 species
AUUGAACGCUGGCGGCAUGCUUUACACAUGCAAGUCGAACGGGGUGAGGGGGCAACUCCUCAUUCAGUGGCGAACGGGUGAGUAAUGCAUCGGAACGUGUCCCGUAGUGGGGGAUAACGCCGCGAAAGCGGCGCUAAUACCGCAUACGCUCUACGGAGGAAAGCAGGGGACCCGCGAGGGCCUUGUGCUAGGGGGGCGGCCGAUGUCCGAUUAGCUUGUUGGUGGGGUAAUGGCCCACCAAGGCGACGAUCGGUAGCUGGUCUGAGAGGAUGAUCAGCCACAAUGGGACUGAGACACGGCCCAGACUCCUACGGGAGGCAGCAGUGGGGAAUUUUGGCCAAUGGGGGCAACCCUGAUCCAGCCAUGCCGCGUGCGGGAAGAAGGCCUUCGGGUUGUAAACCGCUUUUAGCCGGGACGAAAGCUCUACGGAUAACACCCGUGGGGGUUGACGGUACCGGCGGAAUAAGCACCGGCUAACUACGUGCCAGCAGCCGCCGUAAUAC